rnacentral:lncRNA from 1 species
UUUUUUAAAUUGUUAAUACUUUAUUAAAAAUAUCAUAAUAAACAUAAGUAGUGUAAAUAUAUUUAAUGAGUGAUAACAUAAAUUAUGGACGGAUACAAAUCACAACAUCUACACAUUUGGAUUGACUAUAACAGUCAAAAUAACUAUUGAAACUGCUCUGGAUCUGUGAAUUGCCUUUUCUAAAAGUAGUAAACCUUUAGAUAUGAAAUGUUGGAGACAUGAUACUACCAAUUAAAUAUGUAGUUUUAUAUAUAUUAUAGGCCAAAGAUUCAAUUUAACACCUGUAAUUAAGUUAUGUCUUGCAUCGAAAUAAUAUUGCAAACAAACACUUAUCAAUGCAGAGUAAGGGAGAUAAUUAUCCAUUCAAUCAUUGAAGAUUACCAGUUUUGCAAAUGAUGACGAUCUAUACCAGGUAUUUACAGAAUUUUACCAUGGGACAAUAACUUCAAAACAAAGAAAAAUUAUCAACUGAAUGAAGUCACAUAUGAAAAAAAAAAGUUAUUGCGGAAAAUACAGAUUUUUGAAAAUUCAGUAAAAUUGGGUAUAAAAAAAUGUUCAUGGUAUAAAGCAUAGUUGUAGGGUGAUACUGAUUCAUUUUUACCUUCAAUUGUAAAAUAUUCUGUCUCCUCAUUGUGCAUAUUCUACAUUUAGUAAACACACAACAUACUUCAUGUAUGACAUUAAAAAUAACUAAUAGAUUACUCUUAACAACACAAAAGUACUUUUGGCAUGGAAGAUCAUUGUUUGAUUUUUAUUGCUGUUGCAUAUUCUUUAUUUACCAUGAAAGCUAAUGAUUAAGUGGUUGUGUGUUUUAUAUCAAUAGUUAGAAAUAAUAUCAGUAUUACCAUCUUAUGGCCUAGUGUAGCAUGUAUAAGACAGUAAUAUGUCAACAUGAAAAAAUUGAAAUUAUGGAUGUCAACAGAAAUUGUAGGACACAGUUUUAAGUUCUUCUACAAACACAUAA